CGCGCGCACGCCAUUCCACUACGCACGCCGGACGCCAAAGGAAGGAAUGGGAAUGGCAUAGCGCACAAAAGCCAAAAGGUGCUUUCCACCCCUGCCGUGCGCCGCCGUGUGAGGCCGUGACGCGUGAAAAAAUUCCUGGAUUCCGGCGGGCGUUCUACUCCGGCCCAAGGAAGAGCGCCGAUGCGCUGCCACGGGCUCUGCCGCACGGAGCGGGGAUCGCCUCCCGCCGCCGCUGGCAACGCUGAUUCCUCGAUUUACUCUUUCCUUGUGCGCAUCACCCCUUCCCUCCCGCCUCCCCAUCCUAGCGGAGCCGCUCCGCCUCGCCUCCCGCCGCCUUCGUCCUCGAGGGCGGUUCCCACCGGUGGAUCUGGGGGCGGCCGGCCUGGCGCCAGCGAGCCGCCACCGGACCUCGGGGCGGCUGGCCUCGGGAGCCGCCACCGAACGCUUGGUCGAGAGGGGGAGGAGGAAGAGGAGGCCGCCGGGCGCUGCACGAGCGUUCCGCGCGAGGAGCCUGUUGCCUCUGGUGUCCUCCACGUCCGCGAUCUCUCCUUCCUCCGCCCCCGCAAGGGCGACGGCGAGGCGGAUGGGAUGACCGAGGAACAAGACGAGGAGAAGCAGUAGGAGAAGUACUUUGAGUGGCGGAGCUCCCUGGUCGAGAAGCUCGAAGGCAUCGAGCUCAACCUGGAGGGAGUCAAGUUUAGGAUGACAGUCGAGAUCCCGCCGUCCGAUGACUUCAAGGUGAUGAAGAAGUCGUGGGAGGAUUUCUACUCCUCCGAGCUACUCAAUAGCAGGAACCCGGUGAGGAAGAGCGAAAAGGCCGGACACAAUUGUUGUCUGUGGUGUGCAGUCCAGGUGGUUUGCGGAAACAAGAGUAUCAUCCAAGCCAUCUACACUGGUCAAGGCGAAUUGAGCAGAAGGUUGCUCCAUUUUUCAGCACCUUGCAUACGAUUUAAGAGUGCAAUAUUCCAUUGUGCACUUCAAGCAUCAAUUGUGCUACCAUUGUGUACAAGUGGGCUAAUAAUGAAUAAGGUUUUGGUGUACCCAGAGGUUGAGUGAGAAAUAUGAAUGGAUCUUGCUACAUUUUAGACCAUAUUUUAAAUUCUGGUGUUGCAUCAAUUAAACCAUAUUUUAAAUUCCUGUACCAAGUUCAUGUGUUGGCUUUGGUAUAAUAUUUUUCUUGAACUAUUAUUAUUGUUAAUUUUAUUAUGUUAAUCUGUCAAUUAGGUGUUGACAUAUAUAUUCUUGAUCUGUCCACUUGGUGAAACUCUUAUAACCAUGGAGUAUAUUAUGUACCUCCGUAGAGUUGAUAUAGAAU